rnacentral:rRNA from 1 species
UACGUAGGGGGCUAGCGUUGUCCGGAUUUAUUGGGCGUAAAGAGCGUGUAGGCGGCCAGAUAGGUCUGCUGUGAAAACUCGAGGCUCAACCUCGAGAUGUCGGCGGAAACCAUUUGGCUAGAGUCCGGAAGAGGAAAGUGGAAUUCCUGGUGUAGCGGUGAAAUGCGCAGAUAUCAGGAGGAACACCGGUGGCGAAGGCGGGUCUCUGGGCAACAACUGACGCUGAGGAGCGAAAGCGUGGGGAGCGAACAGG